UUUUUUAUAAUUUAUUAUAAUUAUAAUUUCUUAUAAUUAUAAUUCAAUCCAAGAGGUGACAUUUUGAUCUUCAAACUAGAAUCUAUUAAAAAUUCUGUCUUGAAUUUUUUAAAUUAUUAUAAUUUAGUGUCACAUAAUUCAUUCCAAUUGACUAAAUAUAUAUGCGUCGUCAAUAAAAAAUAAUGUGACAAUAUUAUGAUGACGACGUGAUAAUGAUUAAGAUGCCACAUCAUUUUUAAAUUAGCAAUGCAUCAAUACUUAGAUAAUUAAAUUAAGUUGUAAAAUUUCAUUGCCACGUUUAGAAAGUUUGACUUAUAAAAUUAUAACAAAUUAAAAUGAGAAAUGCUUUGGGUCCCUCACUUAUUUGCACCCAAAAAUGUUGUUGAUGUGGCGACACUCUACAUUUAUCGGGUUUAAGGAUUAGGAUUUAGUAUUUAACUAUAUAGUGUUUGGACUUAAAUCAUAAUGAUUAGAGUUUACCCAUAACAUUGUGAUCACAGUAAGAACGCGUUGUGUUUGGUUCGAAGUUGGAGUCGGAGUCGGAAUCGGAAUCGGAAUUAAAAUAAGCUGGAAUUGGAAUCGGAAUGACUCAUUACUUAAUUCUGUUUGAUUUAUCACCUGAAUCGGAAUCGGAAUAAAUCAUUCUCAUUGUCGGUGUUUGGCUCAGGUGGAUAUAAAAAGCAUAAUCAGAUUAAUAUACUAACAUUAUAUUUAUAAUAUAUUAAUUUAAAUUUAAAUUAAAAAUUAAAUAUUAAAAAUUUACAUCAAAAUUUUGAAAUAAUGUCAAAAUUUUAAAUCUAUUUUUUUUAAAAAAAAUUAAACUUUGAAGUUGAGUGGAUAAUUCAAAAUAUAAAACUAAAUUUUGAUUUAUUCAAAUUCAAACUUAAAAUUACAAUUUAAAUUUUAAUUUGAAUUCAUAAAUUUAAUUUAAGUUUGAAAUAAAAUUUGAAUAAAACUUUAUAUAAAUUAAAAUUUUAAUUUAAAUUCAAAUUCAUAAGUUAGAUUCGAAAUACUUGAUUAAAUUUUAUUUUUUAAUUUAAGUUUAAAUUAAAAUUUAAAAUUAUAUAUUUAUUUUUAAAUUUUAACUCAUAUUUUAAUUAAAAAAGUUGAAAAAAUAAAUUUAAUCCGAAUAAAUAUCCAAUCCGUCCGGAUUCAACUUUCAAUUCGGCCUCCUAGACCGGAUUGAAAAAAGAGGUAAUAGGGAAAUUCCCAUUCCACUCGGGAAUCGGAAUCGGAAUGGGACUCCCGCGUACCAAACACCCACAAACGAAUUUACUCAUUCCGAUUCCGAUUCCAGGGUGAAAAAGAAGCGAACCAAACACGUCCUAACAGUAUUGUAGGGUAUCCGUACUGU
rnacentral:lncRNA from 1 species